AAAACUUUCUUACUGCAUAAAUUGGCUUGUUUCGCUAUUUAGAAGCUGUCAUUUAUGAUAUAUGAAUUAUUUAUUCACUAAAUCUCCGCGAAUGACAACAAUCGAUGAAAUUAGAAAUAUAUAUUCGAUGUGAAUGGAUCACUUUCUACAAUAAUGGCUUCGCCCAUGAGAGACUUGAUAACACUCGUGUCAAAACUUUCUUACAGCUUAAGUCGGCUUGUUGCGCUAUUUAGUAAUGCAAUACUAAAUGGAAUUCGAAGGAUAUAUUCAAUGUGAAUGAAGCACUUUCUGGAUCUCGACAGCUUGACAAGGCAAAACUGGCAUACUGAUGAUACGGCAUCUGCACCCAUGUAUAAGAAGACUGACGAAGUAUAGGUACUUCUUUUGUACAGGACCUACAUACAUAACAGAAGAAUAUGCAGAAAACGUGGAGCUUUUGUCAAGGAACAAAAAGGCCAGACUUUACAAUAUAGAGAACCUAUCACUUUUGAGCGAAACUUAAUUGCUAAAAUACCAGUCAAAGUCCAACAGAGGGAAAAUUCUCAUAAAAUUUGAAAAUGAAGUGAAGGGUUCGCCAACCUCAUCACCUGUACAGCUCCAAAACGCAAAAGGCUCAACACUACUGUGAAAUACAAGUUGGCAUCGUGCAGAUAUCGUUCGUUUGCGAAUGAUUAUGUAAAGUAUACUAAUGAAGUUGGCAUUAUAUGUUCACCAUAUGAAAAAAAACUCACACAAGGAACUGCUGUGUAUUUCACCAAGUGUUCUAAAAGGCUGUGAAAAAGGUGGACACACGGAAAGCUUUUUGAAUUACACGUGCUUACUGUCAGAGGGUAGAUUUACAACAAAUAACAUUUUUAAAAAUAUAUUUUUGACAACCAAUAACAUUAGCUUUUUAUUACUUUUAGAUUUGUUUGAGUUGUUUUAACGUGAUAACACUUCUAGUAUGAGAUACAGACCGGAAUGUGUAAAAUUUUGGCAGAUCAGUUAUCGGUUAUUUCAUGGGAAAAUUGUCCUGUUUUUGUCAGGAUAAGACGGGACUCUGUUAUGAUCCAAGCACUGUUACAACCCGUUUUGUAAUAAAAACCCGAAUUGUAAUAAUUAUUACAAAGUGGGUUGCGAUGCAUUAUUACAUUUCGGGUCGACAGUAACAACCCGUUUUGUAAUAAAAACCCAAAAUGUAAUAAAUUUUAUCAUGUCCAUUAAAUCAGAGAUACAGACUUUUUUAGAAGUUAUUUUCAUGUUUAAAUUAGUUUUAGAGUAGGUAUUGACUGUUCCCCCGACCUUUGUUCUUAUAGACUCCAUCAACAAAUCAUGAAUGUAAUAAUUUAUUACAAAGUGGGUUGCGAUGCAUUAUUACAUUUCGGGUCGACAGUAACAACCCGUUUUGUAAUUAAAACCCGAAAUGUAAUAAAUUGUAUCAUGUUCAUUAAAUCAGAGAAACAGACUUUUUUAGAAGUUGUUUUCAUGUUUAAAUUAGUUUUAGAGUAGGUAAUGACAGUUUCCCAGACCUUUGUUCUUAUAGACUCCAUCAACAAAUCAUGAAUGUAAUAAUUAUUACAAAGUGGGUUGCGAUGCAUUAUUACAUUUCGGGACGACAGUAA